CAGGGAUUUGGAGGUGAGGGUUCAUCUAAACAUCAUGUACAAGUUCAAGGUUGAAAAUGAACUUUACUGUUAUUUUUUAUUAGGAUAUUGAUUUGGCAGAAUGAUUGUGAAGUUUGAUUUGGGAGUUGAAAUUUUUAUUUUUUGUCAGAAUCGUACGUGUUAUUGUUGUUACCUAAAGGUUUUGAAGUUGCACGUGAGGAGAUUGAGAACAUAUAUGGUCGUGCUAGUUGCUGAGCAUAACAAGGUGAGUUAUAGAGCAAUCGAUCUGCAUGGACAAAAGAGCAAGCUAGGAAGAAUAAAAGAGAAAGGAUGAGGACACUUUUGAGGAGAAGUAGGGUAAAAAUGAGAAAGAUAGAGAACAAGAAGGAUCAACUAUGUCUAC
rnacentral:lncRNA from 1 species